rnacentral:rRNA from 1 species
GAUGAACGCUGGCGGCGUGCCUAAUACAUGCAAGUCGAGCGAAUGGAUUAAGAGCUUGCUCUUAUGAAGUUAGCGGCGGACGGGUGAGUAACACGUGGGUAACCUGCCCAUAAGACUGGGAUAACUCCGGGAAACCGGGGCUAAUACCGGAUAACAUUUUGAACCGCAUGGUUCGAAAUUGAAAGGCGGCUUCGGCUGUCACUUAUGGAUGGACCCGCGUCGCAUUAGCUAGUUGGUGAGGUAACGGCUCACCAAGGCAACGAUGCGUAGCCGACCUGAGAGGGUGAUCGGCCACACUGGGACUGAGACACGGCCCAGACCCCUACGGGAGGCAGCAGUAGGGAAUCUUCCGCAAUGGACGAAAGUCUGACGGAGCAACGCCGCGUGAGUGAUGAAGGCGUUCGGGUCGUAAAACUCUGUUGUUAGGGAAGAACAAGUGCUAGUUGAAUAAGCUGGCACCUUGACGGUACCUAACCAGAAAGCCACGGCUAACUACGUGCCAGCCGCCGCCGUAA